rnacentral:rRNA from 1 species
UACGGAGGGGGCUAGCGUUGUUCGGAAUUACUGGGCGUAAAGCGCACGUAGGCGGUGGUGCAUGUCAGAUGUGAAAGCCCUGGGCUUAACCUAGGAAUUGCAUUUGAAACUGCGCCGCUAGAGACCGGAAGAGGGUAGUGGAAUUCCCAGUGUAGAGGUGAAAUUCGUAGAUAUUGGGAAGAACACCAGUGGCGAAGGCGGCUACCUGGUCCGGUACUGACGCUGAGGUGCGAAAGCGUGGGGAGUAAACAGG